rnacentral:rRNA from 1 species
AUACAUAGGGGGCAAGCGUUAUCCGGAAUUAUUGGGCGUAAAGCGUGCGUAGGCGGUUUAUUAAGUCUGAUGUUAAAUCCCACAGCUCAACUGGGGGCUGCCAUUGGAAACUGGUAGACUUGAGUGCGGUAGAGGUAAGUGGAAUUCCAAGUGGAGCGGGGGAAUGCGUAGAUAUUUGGAGGAACACCAGUGGCGAAGGCGGCUUACUGGGCCGUUACUGACGCUGAGGCACGAAAGCGUGGGGAGCAAACAGGAUUAGAUACCCUGGUAGUCCACGCCGUAAACGAUGAGCACUAAGUGUCGGAUGAAUUUUCGGCGCUGCAGUUAACACAAUAAGUGCUCCGCCUGGGGAGUACGGUCGCAAGACUGAAACUCAAAGGAAUUGGCGGGG